GAGUUUGAUCGUGGCUCAGGAUGAACGCUAGCGGCAGGCUUAAUACAUGCAAGUCGAGGGGCAGCAUAGAGUGUAGUCAAUACAUUUGAUGGGCGACCGGCAAACGGGUGCGGAACACGUACACAACCUUCCUUUAAGCGGGGAAUAGCCCGGGAAACCCGAUUAAUACUCCAUAGUAUGGUGAGGGGGCAUCUCUUUACUAUUAAAGAUUUAUCACUUAAAGAUGGGUGUGCGGCUGAUUAGGUAGUUGGCGGGGUAACGGCCCACCAAGCCUACGAUCAGUAACUGGUGUGAGAGCGACGACCAGUCACACGGGCA
rnacentral:rRNA from 1 species